rnacentral:rRNA from 1 species
GAUGAACGCUGGCGGCGUGCCUAAUACAUGCAAGUAGAACGCUGAAGCUUGGUGCUUGCACCGAGCGGAUGAGUUGCGAACGGGUGAGUAACGCGUAGGUAACCUGCCUCUUAGCGGGGGAUAACUAUUGGAAACGAUAGCUAAUACCGCAUAAAAGUCGAUAUCGCAUGAUAUUGAUUUGAAAGAUGCAAUUGCAUCACUAAGAGAUGGACCUGCGUUGUAUUAGCUAGUUGGUGAGGUAACGGCUCACCAAGGCGACGAUACAUAGCCGACCUGAGAGGGUGAUCGGCCACACUGGGACUGAGACACGGCCCAGACUCCUACGGGAGGCAGCAGUAGGGAAUCUUCGGCAAUGGGGGCAACCCUGACCGAGCAACGCCGCGUGAGUGAAGAAGGUUUUCGGAUCGUAAAGCUCUGUUGUAAGAGAAGAACGAGUGUGAGAGUGGAAAGUUCACACUGUGACGGAACUACCAGAAAGGACG